rnacentral:rRNA from 1 species
UGGGGAAUAUUGGGCAAUGGGCGAAAGCCUGACCCAGCAACGCCGCGUGAAGGAAGAAGGCUUUCGGGUUGUAAACUUCUUUUAUGGGGGACGAAGACAUGACGGUACCUCAUGAAUAAGCCACGGCUAACUACGUGCCAGCAGCCGCGGUAAUACGUAGGUGGCAAGCGUUAUCCGGAUUUAUUGGGUGUAAAGGGCGUGUAGGCGGGUCUGCAAGUCAGAUGUGAAAACCAGAGGCUCAACCUCUGGCCUGCAUUUGAAACUGUAGAUCUUGAGUGCUGGAGAGGCAAUCGGAAUUCCGUGUGUAGCGGUGAAAUGCGUAGAUAUACGGAGGAACACCAGUGGCGAAGGCGGAUUGCUGGACAGUAACUGACGCUGAGGCGCGAAAGCGUGGGGAGCA